CUCCACAGGAAGUAAUGCUGCUGCCUCAGAGGAUGCUUUUGCCAACUUUGCCUACUUUAGUCCAAGCAAGUUUGAUGAUAAAGGAGCCUGGAGUUGAGAAGUCUAAAGUUAAAAGACAAUGUUUACAUGAGGGACCACGAGAUCGGGAUGAUGACAAAGAUUGAAGGGUGUUCACACUUAGGGGCGUGGUUUUGAGUGCUACAUGAUUGUUUCUUCCUGUGACGCCACAACAAACCUUCACAACUGUUGUAGAGUUCUCUCAUUGAUUGAUAUAGAAUAUAAACUGCUGAUGGAUUUUCUGUCAACACUAAGACAAGUAUUAUCAACUUAUGUCAUGUUUUAGUUCCUACGGUAUAGAUAAGUGGAGGAGGAAACAUGGGGAGAUAUAUGAGUUACAUCCCUUGUUAUUUUUGUGAAUAUGUCAGCCACUGUUGUGUAAUAAAGCAACAAAAACCUUGUAAAGUGCAAUAUUCUAGUGAUAUGUUAGAACUAUUAUUGUAUUUAUUUUAGAAAAAGAAUAUAAGCUAGUAUAACUAAGGUUUGUAUUGGUGUGCGAUGAAGUUUUCUGAUUUUACACCAGUCACAGAUAAAUCACAAACUCAUCAUUCUUGUGCAAUCAUAGUUUUAUCUCGAAGGAUUUUAGUUUUACAUGUAUGUGUAGUUAUUCAUAUAUGAAAUUUUCAAUGUCAAUAAAAUGUGCCAAUCAUUUUAAGAA